rnacentral:rRNA from 1 species
UACGAAGGGGGCUAGCGUUGCUCGGAAUCACUGGGCGUAAAGCGCACGUAGGCGGAUUGCUAAGUCAGGGGUGAAAUCCUGGAGCUCAACUCCAGAACCGCCUUUGAUACCGGCGAUCUUGAGUCCGGGAGAGGUGAGUGGAACUGCGAGUGUAGAGGUGAAAUUCGUAGAUAUUCGCAAGAACACCAGUGGCGAAGGCGGCUCACUGGCCCGGUACUGACGCUGAGGUGCGAAAGCGUGGGGAGCAAACAGG